rnacentral:rRNA from 1 species
CCUACGGGAGACAGCAGUAGGGAAUUUUCCACAAUGGGCGAAAGCCUGAUGGAGCAACGCCGCGUGGGUGAAGAAGGUCUUCGGAUCGUAAAACCCUGUUGUUAGAGAAGAAAGUGCGUGAGAGUAACUGUUCACGUUUCGACGGUAUCUACCCAGAAAGCCACGGCUAACUACGUGCCAGCAGCCGCGGUAAAACGUAGGUGGCAAGCGUUAUCCGGAUGAAUUGGGCGUAAAGGGAACGCAGGCGGUCUUUUAAGUCUGAUGUGAAAGCCUUCGGCUUAACCGGAGUAGUGCAUGGGAAACUGGGAGACUUGAGUGCAGAAGAGGAGAGUGGAAC